AAGAAAAAAAAAAAUAAUAAUAAUAAUAAAAUAAAAAAUAAAAAAAGUUGAUUUCCGUUGAACAUUCCACAACCAUCAAUACAACACAUACACCUACCACUCCAACCACUGACUCUACAAUUAUGUCAAACAGCUCAACAUCUACCAUCACCAUCUACAUUCCUACAUGAUCAAGACUUACAAACACCAACAACAACCUACCAAUUACACAUUCAAAACACAAUAACAACCUAUUAAAUGUUCCAUGUGAUUUCAAUCAAAAUCAGCACCUAAAUUUGUGAUGUAAUCUUCACUUUGAUCAAGCCAAAUCCCAAAACAGUCUUUCGGAGUUGUUCUCCAUCCAUGAGGACUUUGUGACAGUUCUCUAACCACAAUGACACAAAAUUUGUAAGAAAUUCUAUGAUUUCAUAAAGAAUUUUCCAUGAUGAGGUAAAAUAAUUGGUUUUCUUUAUAGGGUUCGUUUCAAUUUGAGAGCGAUUCGGGGAUGGUUUGGAUUCUUGUUUUCCCUGUAGAGAUUGGUCUGGAAGGAAAGGUUUAUUGAUUUGGGUGGAAAUCGAUGGGUUGUUAUGGAGAAAAAAUGGAUUUAGGGUUCUUGGUGAAAUUGAAUUUUGAUUUGGGAAUAUGAGAAAAACGUUUCUUGCCAUUUUUAAAGAGAAAAUGUUGUUUCAAAUUUGGUGAUUAAUGUCUAGUUGUCAAUAUUUAACAAUGUUUGUUGCCACGAUGGAUUUCCAUCCGCCAUGUGUAUUUUUUCAUCAAGG
rnacentral:lncRNA from 1 species